UACGUAGGUGGCAAGCGUUGUCCGGAUUUACUGGGCGUAAAGAGCGCGCAGGCGGUCGUUCAAGUCGCGUGUGAAAGCCCCCGGCUCAACUGGGGAGGGUCACGCGAUACUGAUCGACUGGAAGGCAGGAGAGGGUAGUGGAAUUCCCGGUGUAGAGGUGAAAUUCGUAGAUAUCGGGAGGAACACCGGUGGCGAAGGCGGCGACCUGGGUAGAUACUGACGCUGAGGUGCGAAAGCGUGGGGAGCAAACAGGG
rnacentral:rRNA from 1 species